rnacentral:tRNA from 1 species
GGAAGGUAGCGCGUCGUGGCGGCGCAUCCCGUUUUGAAAACGGGCGCGGGCGAUCACCCUGGGGUUCGAGUCCUCUGCCUUCCGC